AUCUCUAAUGAUGUGCAUGUUAAAACGUUCGUUCUCCUGAUCAAAUUAAUGCUGAAAAAUUGCGGAGACCUGAGCUGAAGAGUU
rfam:Populus trichocarpa isolate Nisqually-1 chromosome 8, whole genome shotgun sequence.